CACAGUAAUAUAUAUUGAUAUAAAUAUAACAUUAAUUGCACAUACAUGAAGUAUACAAUUUGACCAGUUUGACCUUUGAAACAACUAUCAGUAAAAAUCGUGAACUCUUAUCAUCCCAAAAAUUUCAUCAUAUUUCUUUGUAAUUCUCCCAUCUCUGCUUUCCUUUACUAUGCAUUAUUUUGAUUUGUCUAGAAAUUUAUAUAAAUGGGUGUGCAAAUUCAAGGGUAGAUCAUCUUUUUACAUGUGCAAGGCCCAGUGUUCAAUCCCCAGCACCCCCCAAUAUUCCAUCUUUGUGAGCCUCUCUUCUUUCCUAUUUUAUAGUUAAAUCUCUUGGAAGUUCGUGUUGGGACCUCCAUGUUUUUCUGUUCCCUUCAUUACUUUUUGCAGUCUUUGACCCUAACCCUACCACUCACUGAAUUUAACUUUUACUUAGGUCAAUUAUAACUUUUUUCAUGAUGUCUCUCUUUUUUUUUUUUAAGUGUUUUUUAGUUGUAGAUGGGCACAAUACCUUUAUUUAUUUUAUGUAGUGCUGAGGUUUGAACUCAGUGCCUCAUACAUGCAAGACAAGCGCUCUACCACUGAGCCACAACCUCAGUCCCCAUGAUGUCUCUCUUGUAUUCCCACAUUGUACCCCAUGACUUCCUGUCCAAUCACCUUAAAAUUAUAACUUCUUCAGCACUUCCUAUUCCUUUUAAAAUAGCAUAGUUUUUUUUAGUUAUUUAUUUUGCUUAUGUGUAUUUUCCCUGGUUAGAAAAUAAAAUCAGGGAGGAUAGGGAUUUUGUCUGCUUGUUCACUGCUGUAUUCUAAGUAUCUGGAAUAAUGACCAGUACAUUACAGGCACUCAUUAAGUAACUGUUCGAUGGAUGAAGUAUGAUUAUCUAUUUUCCUGUGUUCUAUAUUAGGCCAGAAACUCCUUUGAAGAUAAAAACUAUUGUUAUGUCUUUAUUACCCCGUUGGCUCAGUCUGGCCUGUAGGUGAACACGAGUGUGAAAUGUACAUGAGAAGUUGCUAUGAUACCAGUAAUUUUUGUAAAUGCUUCUAGAUGACAUUUAAAGACCUUUAACAGUGGUUUUUAAGUUCUAUGCAAUUCUAGAUCUCUAUAGAGCCUGAAAGUAGGAUUUUGCAGGCAAUAAAUAUUUAAAACUGGGGGUAGCUCAGUGGGAGAGUGUUUGCCUAGCACAUGCAAAGACCGGGUUUCAUCUCCAGCACUGAACCAAAAACCAAAAUGAGCAAACAAACAAACAAAAACACAGAAACAGCUUUUAGCUGGAUGUGAUAACAUGUAUUGUAAUCCCAGCUACUUAGGAGUCUGAGAUAGGAGGAUCAUAAAUUUGAAUCAACCUGGGCAAUUUACUGAGACCCUCUCUAAAAAUAAAAUUUAGAGUGGUGGGAAGGUAUGGUAGGGCACUUGCUAUCCUGUAUGAGAACCUAGGUUUGAACUCCAGUACCCGUACCAGAAGGAAAAAAAAAAAACGAUUUAAGUUGCCUUAAAGAAAUUGUUCAUGCCUUUAAAUUGUAUUAUUUAUUGGGAUUCCUUCACUAGAGCACUACUGCUAAAAUAAGUUUGAAGUGAUAGCACAAACCAGAGACAGGGAAGAAAAGAAGUACAAAGAUAGGGCCCAAGAUAUAGUCUUAAUCUUGAGACAUUAGGGGAGUUUCUAUGCUGAUACUUGUACCCCAUUCCCAAUAAUAUUGGUAGGGCUAGGAACUGAGCAUAGAUAUAUUUUUUAAUUCUUCAAAUGAUUCUACUAUGUAACCAAGGAUUGAGAACCACAGGAAUAAUUAAUCCUAGAGGAAUGGGGCAAGUUACAGGGAAGACAAAAGCAAAUCUGGUGAGAAGCAGAAUGUCCCCCAACAAUUGCUUAAAGUCAGAGUGGGUCAGAGACAGACACUGUUAUUGGGUUUUUUUGUAGCCAUGACUAGUAAUUGGGCUCAAACACUUGAGGGGACAUAAGAGCAAGACCACAUACUUAAUGGUUAGUUUAUGGGACACUAAUAACAACUGACAAAUAAAAAGAACACUUCUUCCUUGAAGCUUUCUAAAAGGUUAAUUAUCAACCAGUUCUUUCAACCCUUAAAUUACUUUCUGAGAGUGAAUUAGAAAGAGGGCAUGGAUUCUAUUAGAAGAUUGUGGUACCACUGUAGAUUAAUUCUUCUUAUUAAAUUGUACCCUGUUGUUCAUUUUUCACCACAAAGAAGCUAACUUAAUCCUUGUUCUGAGCUUGCAUAUGGAGCAAUUCUGGAUAAUUGCUUAUAGAAUGAUAACCUUUAGAACAGGCACAAUCCAACAGAGAAAAAUUCAUCCUUGGAAUGUAAUUUCAAAUUCAUAAAGUGAAACUUAGUAUCAUGAAAAGAGAGUAUAUGAGUUUCAUGAUGUCAUAUUACUAUUCCUAAGGGAAAUUUCCAAUAUUCUGUGAUUCAAUAUAGACUCAGGAUAAAUAUGUGACUUCUAGCUUUUCCGGAGGCAUGCUAACAAACUUUGACCUGUUUGAAGAUAAGAAUGGUUUAUCAAAGGUUAUUUAAUUUCAGUCACAAGUACCUUGUUUGUUAGUAUUCUCUUUAUGAAGAAUACAUUCCAAUUAUAAAACUCUCCAUGUAAAGAAGGACAUAUUAUAAUCCAAUUCUUUUUUUAAAAAAAGGAAUUUGUUGUUGUUGUUGUUGUAGUUGGACUACCCUAUUUAUUCAUUUCUGUGUGGUGCUGAGGAUCCAACACAGCACCUCGCACAUGCUAGGCAAAUGCUCUACCUCUGAGUCACAACCCCAGCUCCUAAUUCAGUUCUUUGUAAAGAGAAAAACUCUUUUCACCAGACAUAUUGGAAGUAUUUUUUUCCCUCAAAUUAAUUUACUGUAAGUAAAUUUGAUGAAAUGGUUUAUUCCAAGAAUUAUGUUUUUUAAAAAGCAUUUUUUAAUUGUAGGUGGACACAAUAACUUUAUUUAUUUUUAAAUUUGUUUUUGUAGUUGUAGACGGACAGAAUGCCUUUAUUUUAUUUGUUUAUUUUUAUGUGUUGCUGAGGAUCGAACCCAGUCCCUUACAUGUAUUAGGAAAGCCCUCUUCCACUGAGCUACAACUCCAGACCUCCAAGAAUUACUUUUUAAAUUCUUUUUUUUAAUAUUUACUUUUUAGUUAUAGUUGGACACAAUACCUUUAUUUUAUUUAUUUUUAUAUGGUGCUGAGGAAUCAAACCCAGGACCUCUCACAUGCUAGGCAAGCGCUCUACUACUGAGCCACAACCCCUGCCCCUUUUUAAAAUUCUAAAACAAAAGAAUUAAAUAAAAGUGGACUUUGACAGAAAUGGAUGCUGCCUUGUUUCUUCUGCAAGUGUGUAGACUUUUCAUUUUGUAGUGAUUUGUGUUCCCUGAUAUGCUUUAUCUCAUGCUUGACUGAUUGCAAGUGUGCAGGGGGGUUAAAUGUGUUUGCUAUUGGCAAUUUAGCAUUAAUUGUAAUACGAUGUAAUCCAAAUUACAAUCUGUCAUUUCUAGUCAAAUUGUGAAGCACUGUAAUUGUAUUUUAGAGUUCCACUGCCAUUGAUUAUAGCUACCUCAUUUGUGUUUUAAUAUACCAUGACGAAUUUGUGAAUGGAAAUACAAUCUUGUAACAAGCCAAGAAACAAGUAUUGUUUUUCUAUUAUAACAGCAAGAAAAUUAUUUCUUAACAAAUGAAAAGAGGAGAUGGUAAGACAGUAAAGAGAUUCAUUUAAGGAUGAAAAAAGACUUCAAUUUUCCAGCAGUGCAUAAAAAUAAAUGAAUCAUAGAUAUUUAGAGGACAUGCUUUUUAAAAUUUUUUUUUUAUCAAUUGUUGAUGGAUUUUUAUUUUAUUUGUUUAUUUAUAUGCAGUGCUGAGAAUCGAACCUGGGGCCUCACACAUGCUAGGCAAGCGCUCUACCACUGAGCCACAAUCCCAGCCCUACAGAACAUUUUUAAAUGAGAC
rnacentral:lncRNA from 1 species